rnacentral:rRNA from 1 species
AUUGAACGCUGGCGGCAGGCCUAACACAUGCAAGUCGAGCGGAUGAAGGGAGCUUGCUCCUGGAUUCAGCGGCGGACGGGUGAGUAAUGCUUAGGAAUCUGCCUGGUAGUGGGGGAUAACGUCCGGAAACGGGCGCUAAUACCGCAUACGUCCUGAGGGAGAAAGUGGGGGAUCUUCGGACCUCACGCUCUUAGAUGAGCCUAGGUCGGAUUAGCUAGUUGGUGGGGUAAAGGCCUACCAAGGCGACGAUCCGUAACUGGUCUGAGAGGAUGAUCAGUCACACUGGGACUGAGACACGGUCCAGACUCCCACGGAAGCCAGCAGUAGGGAAUAUUGGGCGAUGGGCGAAAACCUGAUCCAGCCAUGCCGCGUGUGUGAAGAAGGUCUUCGGAUUGUAAAGCACUUUAAGUUGGGAGUAAGCGCAGUAAGUUAAGACCUUGCUGUUUUGACGUUACCAACAGAAUAAGCACCGGCUAACUUCGUG